AUACUUACCUGGACGGGGUCAAUGGGUGAUCAAGAAGGCCCAUGGCCUAGGUUGGUGACUUCCAUUGCACUUAGGUGGGGUGCCCGCCUAAGGUCGGCCCAAGUGGUCGAGCCUACGUCGUAAUUUGUGGUAGUGGGGGCCUGCGUUCGCGCGGCCCCUGC
rnacentral:snRNA from 1 species